AAAUAGUGUUUUAAAAUUUUCCAAAAAGAGAACACCGUCCAUAUUUUGGAUACUAGGAAUUAGAAUAUGCUGUUAUCAAGUAUAUUGGCAGGGCACAGAAGCAUGUAUACUUUGGUCAAAGAGAAUAAGUAAGGCAUAAGAUUGUGAGGAGACAUGGCCAGAUUUAAAUUCUAGAUUCUAAUUUCUAAGUGGCAAAAUUCAAAACAUCAUUCUUCUCCCUUCAAAAUCACACAAAUGUGCUAGGACAAAAGACAAAGAAUAUAGUCCUCAUGUCAAAGAAAGCAGGAAAUAUAUGUAGCCCAAAAAACCCCACAUGUGUUGAAGGGCCAGAGAAAUGCACAUGAUAAAAGUGCCCAUGGCUGUUCAACUCAAACAGAGAUGACAGAGUUCUCAGAGAAACAAUGCCAACAAUGUCCAUAGGCACAUCCUAGGCCUUCAGUAUCCUUAAAGAAGCCUAGCAGGGGCCAGUGAAGACUCUCCCAAAUAACAUCCAAAACAAAUCGAGACCAAAAGGUAGAGAUUGCAUCUUUUUUUAAAGGUCUUUCUUUGUUCUUUUCUUUUUCUUUUUUUCUUUUUUUGUUUGUUUUGUUUGUUUUUCAAGACAGGAUUUCUCUGUGUAGCCCUGGCUGUCCUAAAACUCACUCUGUAGACCAGGCAGGUGGAUCUGUGAGUUUGAGGCUAGCCAGGUCUACAAAGUGAGUUCCAGGACAGCCAGGACUACAGAGAGAAAUUCUAUCUUGGGGAAAAACAAACAACCAAACAAACAAAUAAAUGAACAAAAAAAUAGAGAGUCUCCCUGACCCUGAAGAAAGCUGUUUCAGUAUAACUGAAGGACCAGUAAGCCUUCAGGAUUCGCCUGCCUGCCUGCCGUCCAUGCCGACACUCACUCAGCAGGACCCACUGUGGACGCUUUCUGCAGGGAUGCUGUGGUCAGACCCAGGUCCUCAGGCCUCCUUGGCAAGCACGUGCACACUCAGCUUUUCUCCUGCCCCCAUUUCCAAUCCCACAGAAACCUCAGGCUUCUUAUGGUUUGAACAAGGCCUGUAUGUUUGCUUGUUUGUUUAUCUAAUAAACUGCUUGUUGGGAAGAAAGUAGUACACUUCAGGUCCCAUAUUACCCACGAGUUAAGGUUCAACAACCUCACAUAAGAGUGCUCUUAUUGCUAAGACACUCAGGGUAGUGCAGCACCAGGCUUUAUUAAGCAGAGACCUCUCAUUGUUAAAAGUGAGAUGAUUCCCUUAGAAGCUAUACACACUGCCAAAGGGAAUUAUGACCGAGAACAUGUUUUUGGUGAAUAGAUGCCAAAUACCCUUCUCACCUGAUGAUUACUGUUGUAAUAUUUGCCCAUUAGCUACUUUCAGCUCAGGAAAUAGAUUAGACCCUUAAUAGCCUAUGCAAUCAGGAAAUGAGCAACAUAUUUAUAGAUUCCACUAGUGAAUUUGAAAUAAAACUUCCUGCCUUUUAAAAAUGAAGGCUCCUGCCUAGAGAGAUGGCUCACUGCUUAAGCACACUUGCUGUUCUUUCAGGAGACCCCAAUUCAGUUCCCAGCACCCAUAUGAGACAACUUCCAGCCAUCCUAUAUAGAGUAACUGUAGGAACAACAUUAAGAGUAACUGUCCUAUAGACAGGCCAAAAGCAAGCCAUGUUUUUAGCUUUCCUUGGGGCCUUAAGGACCACCAAGGCUGGUUUUCAUCUGAAGUUGACCACUGUGAAGCUCUGUGGUUUGGGAACUGUGGUAUUAAAGCAGCUGAGUUAGAGGACCCAGAAGGCUCGCCCAGCCCUUAUACCACCUGGGUCCAAAUCUGUCAUUUCUUAGAUUCCUGAAUUCUGCCUUUUCAGCCUUGCUUUCUGUACCCGCUAAAGACAAAAACUCUUGGGAAAGAAAAUUUAAAUGGCAUAAUGUUUUUAAAAGAAAGGUUCAAGUCAAAGUGCUUUGAAAACACAUGAUUCUGAAGGUUGUAUUUUUUAAAGGUGUUGGAUUUUCUCUCUCUCUCUCUAUUUUCUCUCUCUCUCUCUCUCUCUCUGUGUGUAGACAAAUGCACGUGUUUUCAUUAUAUAUAUANAAAUUUAUACUAUUGCUAUAGCCCAUUGAUAAAAAUUAUAAUAGGUUGUAAAACUACGGGCCAUUAAAAUCUUGAACCUGCAUGUAUAUCAUUAUGUAUUGCUUGUUGACUCUUUUAUUCUUAACCCAGACAAUCGGACCUUCACAACAAAAUUGGGUUUUGUCAGAGGCAUUAUUAUUACUGUUAUUACUAUAAAAAAGAAAAGCACCCAGCCACCCACUAUCUGAUAACAAGUGCCCCAUCUAAGGAGUUCAGUUUGAAUAAUUUGAGUAUGGCUGCUGACUUCAUUCUGUAUGAGCAGUAGCCUAGCAAGUGUCUAGCACCAAGUUUGAUUCCCAGCACCAUACACACAGUUUGAAUAAUUCUUUCAUAAAUAGCAAUUCUUAGCAGUGUGAUUUAAAAUGCUGUAAAAGAAGUUUAAGUAGAUUUGGCUUCUCUCCCAUGCUGCUGUCUUAAAAUAAAGUAUGUCACAUGGCAUAUUGAUUACAGAAUUCAAGGCCAAUUACAUCCCAGAAACAAAACACUUCUUUCUCUCCCAUUAUGAUAUUCGUCACUAAUAUGUUAUUAUAGCAACCUGGGCUCAGUCUCCACUGUGUAGGUAGGAUUUGGGGGAACACAAGGAGGAAAUCAUUUAGUGAAUAAAGGGAUUGGGAAUUGUUACCUGGUUCCAUAUACAUAUGGUUUCGAAUACAAUAAUAAAAAGUGAAAUAGCUAGGCAUAGUGGCACAUGCCUGCAAUUAUAGUAUCUGGAAGCUGAGGCAGGAGGAUUGUAAGCUGAAGGCCAGACAACCUGGCAUACAGAAAUUUAUGGCAAUUUUAUGGGGGUGGGUCCAUAGCAAGAUGCCAUCUCAAAUAAAAACAAAACAAAACAGGAAAGGAAGUCUGGGGAGGUAGCUCACUGGGCCACAUAAGCAUGAGGACCUGAGUUCAGGUCCUCUGGGUUACUACAUAAAGCCACCCCACAGCACUGUAAUACCAGUGUGUCUGUGGACAGACGGAAGGUAACGACAGGAGAAUCCUGGAGCUCACAGGCCUUGUGCACACCGCACUGAUCAAUAGAUCUCACUGAGGGGAAAGCAGACUCACACCCAGGGUUGUUUUUGUUCUUCACAUGCACUGUGGUUGUACCUCUAUUCACACACAAACACACACAUGAACAUACAUAUGUGUACAUGGUAGAACUAUCUACUCUCUAACAAUUUCAGUAGACAACAUGGUUCCAGUGAUAAUCACCAUACUGUACUUUUCAUCCUCAAAAUCUAACCAUUCAGACAGGGCAUCAUGGCACAUGCCUGCAAUCUUAGUACUUGGGAUGUGGGAACAGACUGUGUUAUAACUGAGAGUUUGUGCCCUUAGACCAAUAUCUUCCCAUUGCUCUCUACCCUCAAAGUCUGGCAACCAGCCUUCUGUGAGAUUGAUAUUCUUACAUUAUACAUAUAAUUGAUAUCAGACAGUAUCUUUUCAUUGUGGUAGCUUAUUUCAUCUAGCAUAAUGUCCUCCAGGGUCAUCUAGUUUCUUUCAAAUGGCAGAGUUUUUCUUUUUAAUGAAUAGCCAACUAACAUGUUUAAGCAUAUAAAUAUGCUAUAUAUACAUAGAUAU
ensembl:sense_intronic Gm37529 predicted gene, 37529